CCUACGGGAGGCUGCAGUGGGGAAUAUUGGACAAUGGGCGAAAGCCUGAUCCAGCCAUGCCGCGUGUGUGAAGAAGGCCUUCGGGUUGUAAAGCACUUUCAGUGGGGAAGAAAGCCUUGGGGCUAAUACCCUCGAGGAAGGACAUCACCCACAGAAGAAGCACCGGCUAACUCCGUGCCAGCAGCCGCGGUAAUACGGAGGGUGCGAGCGUUAAUCGGAAUUACUGGGCGUAAAGCGCGCGUAGGCGGUCUGAUAAGCCGGUUGUGAAAGCCCCGGGCUCAACCUGGGAACGGCAUCCGGCUGUAAGGCGAUAGGGCAGGGAGGGAAGGAAGAAUACCCGGUGCAGCGGUGCAAGGCGCAGGGGUCGGGAGGGAUACCAGUGGGGAAGGGGGCCUGCUGGACUGACAGGGAGGCUGAGUUGCGAAAGCGUGGGUAGCAACCAGGAUUAGAUACCCGGUUAUUC
rnacentral:rRNA from 1 species